GCAGCAGCCGCGGGAAUACAGAGGGUGCGAGCGUUAAUCGGAUUUACUGGGCGUAAAGCGUGCGUAGGCGGCUUCUUAAGUCGGAUGUGAAAUCCCUGAGCUUAACUUAGGAAUUGCAUUCGAUACUGGGAAGCUAGAGUAUGGGAGAGGAUGGUAGAAUUCCAGGUGUAGCGGUGAAAUGCGUAGAGAUCUGGAGGAAUACCGAUGGCGAAGGCAGCCAUCUGGCCUAAUACUGACGCUGAGGUACGAAAGCAUGGGGAGCAAACAGGAUUAGAGACCCCAGUAGUCCCUGUCUCUUAUAC
rnacentral:rRNA from 1 species